CUUCCACCAACACCACCACCAGUUAUUCUCACGCCUCCUUGAAGCGUUGCUGGGACUGGGAGCGAGAGCCCAACCGUCGCCAGUUUUGGGAACUAAAAUUUAGAAAAUACAGCAGGCCGAAGAGAAAGGACGAUUGACCGGUCGGACGAUUGGACGUUGCAGCAGGUGACCGUUGCAACCGAUUGAAGAGGGGACGGUUGUGAGAUAAGGGAGGAACCGAACGUUGGGAAUGAAUGUAUUAUUAUGUUUUCUUUUACUUAAACUCUGAUAUUAUUUCGUUAAGAUUCGUUAUUUUAAUUCAAAAAUUGUAUUAAUUUGUGGUAUAAACUAGUAUUUGAUACAUUCAAUUUGGUUAUAUCGAACCAAAUUUUGUGAUU